rnacentral:misc_RNA from 1 species
CGCAAAAUCCUUGUCAGGCAAGUUUGUGCAUUUUUAUUUAGUUUCGUUUCUUUUGUACUUAAAACUCUAAAAUUGUAUCAACCAUUGGAGUACUACAGAUGGUAAGCAGGUCUAGCAAUAUCACAACUGAUUCUCUAUGCUCAAAUGUUUUUCAUGAUGGUAUUUUUUGUUGCUUUCCUCGCAUCUUCAUAUUAUGCUUACUUAGGAGACAUCACCCUGACAGUUUGGUGCAUAAUGCAUGGAGUAGCUGAUAGUUGUGGGUUUACUGCAUAUGAUAGCUUGCCUUGUUAGCAUAUGAAACAUGAAAAUACCUAAAUUAAUGAACUUCUAUUAGAAGCUGUACAAUUCUUUUUUAAAUGUCUUGCUCGCAAUUAAUAUUACUCCUUGUUUAUGAGUUGCUGGUUUGGUCCAAGGAUUUCUUCCUGCAGAAUAAGAUUGAAAUAUAUUUAGCCAUUUUACAGUUGGCUAAUUAACUCGUAUGCUCAUUCUGCAGGAAUUGGAUGAUUUAUGUUAUCAAAACAAUUGGAUAUUACCGACUUACAGUGUGACUGCAAUAGAUGGUGGAUUCCAAGCCAAAGUAAUUGUGAAAGGGAUAGACUUCGAGUAUUCAAGUGAUGGCGAUUUGCAUCUCCAUCCACGUGA